rnacentral:rRNA from 1 species
CCUACGGGUGGCAGCAGUGGGGAAUAUUGGACAAUGGGCGAAAGCCUGAUCCAGCCAUGCCGCGUGUGUGAAGAAGGCCUUCGGGUUGUAAAGCACUUUCAGUGGGGAAGAAAGCCUUGGGGCUAAUACCCUCGAGGAAGGACAUCACCCACAGAAGAAGCACCGGCUAACUCCGUGCCAGCAGCCGCGGUCAUACGGAGGGUGCGAGCGUUAAUCGGAAUUACUGGGCGUAAAGCGCGCGUAGGCGGUCUGAUAAGCCGGUUGUGAAAGCCCCGGGCGCAACCUGGGAACGGCAUCCGGAACUGUCAGGCUAGAGUGCAGGAGAGGAAGGUAGAAUUCCCGGUGUAGCGGUGAAAUGCGUAGAGAUCGGGAGGAAUACCAGUGGCGAAGGCGGCCUUCUGGACUGACACUGACGCUGAGGUGCGAAAGCGUGGGUAGCAAACAGGAUUAGAUACCCUUGUAGUC